AUUGAACGCUGGCGGCAUGCCUUACACAUGCAAGUCGAACGGUAACGGGCCUUCGGGUGCCGACGAGUGGCGAACGGGUGAGUAAUACAUCGGAACGUGCCCGAUCGUGGGGGAUAACGAGGCGAAAGCUUUGCUAAUACCGCAUACGAUCUACGGAUGAAAGCAGGGGACCGCAAGGCCUUGCGCGGACGGAGCUGCCGGUGGCAGAUUAGGUAGUUGGUGGGAUAAAAGCUUACCAAGCCGACGAUCUGUAGCUGAUCUGAGAGGAUGAUCCGCCACACUGGGACUGAGACACGGCCCAGACUCCGACGGGAGGCAGCAGUGGGGAAUAUUGGACAAUGGGCGCAAGCCUGAUCCAGCCAUGCCGCGUGCAGGAUGAAGGCCUUCGGGUUGUAAACUGCUUUUGUACGGAAAGAAAAGCCUUCUUUUAAUACAGGAGGGUCAUGACGGUACCGUAAGAAUAAGCACCGGCUAACUACGUG
rnacentral:rRNA from 1 species